GCCUGGCUAGCUCAAUGGCUAGAGCGUGUGACUUUUAAUCAGCUUGAUUGAGAGGUUAUCACAAGGUUGCGGGUUCGACCCCCGCGUCGGGCU
rfam:Candida tanzawaensis NRRL Y-17324 unplaced genomic scaffold CANTAscaffold_5, whole genome shotgun sequence.